GCCCUUGUACCUCAGUGGUUAGAUGCAUCUUCUUAAAAUGUCGUAGACCUCUACAGCUCGGAAGAAGCCGCGGGUUCGACUCCCGCCGAGGGCG